rnacentral:rRNA from 1 species
GAUGAACGCUGGCGGCGUGCCUAAUACAUGCAAGUCGAGCGGACCAAAGAGAGCUUGCUCUCUGAGGUUAGCGGCGGACGGGUGAGUAACACGUGGGUAACCUGCCUGUAAGACGGGGAUAACUUCGGGAAACCGAAGCUAAUACCGGAUGAUAAAGAGAAACGCCUGUUUCUUUUUUGAAAGUCGGCCUUGUGCUGACGCUUACAGAUGGGCCCGCGGCGCAUUAGCUAGUUGGUGAGGUAACGGCUCACCAAGGCGACGAUGCGUAGCCGACCUGAGAGGGUGAUCGGCCACACUGGGACUGAGACACGGCCCAGACUCCUACGGGAGGCAGCAGUAGGGAAUCUUCGGCAAUGGACGAAAGUCUGACCGAGCAACGCCGCGUGAGCGAUGAAGGCCUUCGGGUCGUAAAGCUCUGUUGUCAGAGAAGAACAAGUACCGGAGUAACUGCCGGUACCUUGACGGUACCUGACCAGAAAGCCACGGCUAACUACGUGCCAGCAGCCGCGGUAA